GUUGUCUGUCUGCUUUCUUUUAUAUGAAGGGAAAGAUUCUAAUGUUCUGUCCCCUGAAGUAAUCCACAAAUUUGUAUUCUUUACUUCAAUCCUAUUUCGACAGCCAGAUCCAAUUGCUAUCUGCAUCUGCAAGUUUUUGGCUGCUAAUAUCUUUUCUUCUGAAAACUCAAGAAAUUUUUUACUGGAAAAGAAAUCUUUAGUAACUUUUGCAGAUUGCGAGGUAAUCACAAAAAUCAUAUUGUUGAUACUAAUUUCCUUCCCGUGCAAGUUCAAAAAUUUACCAGUUCUGAUAGCGCGAGAUAAGCUAUUCUGAACAGGAAAAUCAGCCUUUUCUAUGUUUUCAAGAAGCACAGUAGAACAGCUCUUCUUGCUUAACUCCUCUGCAAUGUAGUCAAUGACUGUCUUUCCCCUAAGUUUCAUGUGAUUGUUUCUUAUAUUUUGAUGGAUAAGCAGAGAAUUUGAGCAGCUAAUCCAAUCGCUAGAGCCCAGAUCCACAGAGAGCAAGCUAUUGUGGCUGCCAAAGACAUUCUCAGCAAGAGCUUUUGCAAUUUUUUGUUUCCCCACCUUGUCAGGUCCAAGGAAGCUGAGCCAUAUAUUUCCUUUGCUAGAGACAUGACUCCUUCCAUUACCACUUCUGCAGCGAGUGACAGUAUGACUAAUGGCAUAAAUGGCUUCCUCUUGCCAAUAAACAUGUUCGGAAAGAGCUUUAUAAAGGUUCUUAAAGUCUUCCAAAAUUAAGUCCUUGUCUAACUGAGGAACAGAGGAAGAAACCGAUCCUGAAAAGUAAGGAAGGCAAUCCUGAUUUUCCGAAAAACUGGGUUCCCACAGAUCUCUUACAGUGGAUAUGUGAACCGUUCCCAACCCCAGGUCUGUGCUAACAGAAGCUCUUGAGGCUAAUGAUGUUCGAUCAAGGGGCAGGCUCGAACCACAAAGAGCAUUCUGGUACGGGGUCCAGAUAUUUUCCAUCUUCUGAUGCUGAGUUUCUAAACUCUGAGCCGGUACUUCAGGUUGGGAAUUAGAUUCACCUUCAGACACGACUGAUUUUGACAUGG
rnacentral:misc_RNA from 1 species